ACCCCUAGAAUGUGAGCAGCAGCUCAGGGAGGGGAUCCUGCCCCUCUGCUGCAUGAAGGGGAGACCUGAGAGCAGCUCCAGUGCCUAAAGGGGCUGCAGGAAACCUGGAGAGGGGCUUGGGACAAGGGAUGGAGGGACAGACCGAGGGGAAUGACUUUAACCUGCCAGAGGGGAGACUGAGAUGAGCUCUUAGGCAGAAGCUCUUCCCUGGGAGGGUGCUGAGGUGCUGGCACAGGGUGCCCAGAGAAGCUGUGGCUGCCCCAUCCCUGGCAGGGUUCAAGGCCAGGUUGGACACGGGCUUGGAGCACCCUGCUCUAGUAUGAGGUGUCCCUGCCCAUGGCAGGGGUUGGAACUGGAUGGGCUUUAAGGUCCCUUCCAACCCAAACCGUUCCAUGAUCCUAUGAUUCUAUGAUUCUGACUUAAUGAGAAUUUAUAGGGAUGAAGGAUGUGGAUUAAGUAGCAGCAGAUUAGUGCUCCCUCCCUCCAUUUUUGGGGGGUAAAUGCAUGUUUUUACAAAAGGUUUUACUUUAUUAUGUUGAAACCUCCUUGCAAGUGCUCUUCAUUCUCCAGUUUCUAUUGGGGUUGGAGAAAAGCUCUCCCUUUUCGAUGUUAAAACCUCAUUCAUUUUGGGGAGACAGAACAGAAAUCAUAGAAUCCUAGACUGGUUUGGGUUAGAAGGGACCUUAAGAUCAUCUAGUUUCAGCCCCCUGCCAUGGGCAGGAUAUGUCCCAUGGUAUUCAAGGCUGGGUUGGAUGGGGCUUGGAGCAACCUCCUCUAGUGAAAGGUGUCCCUGCCCGUGGCAGGGGGUUGGAACUGGAUGAGCUUCAAGGUCCUUUCCAACCCAGACCAUUCUGUGACUCCAUGAUACGGAUCCACAUUGCAUUCAACCCCUUUCCUAAGGGAUGCAUUCACUGGUGGACUCCCAUCUGCUCGCAGCACCAUGACAAGAGCUUUUGGCAGCAAAUUACCCACUUCCAGCUCAGGAUUAGAGUUUACCCCGUGAUUUUUACCGCGAUCCCAUGGGAUGCGCAGCUCGGAACAAAGCACCGACCUCAGCAGCGCGCGUCCCAUUGCGCCGGGAGCCUGGGCUGAUAAAUGCUGCUCAUAUCCCAUUCCAAGAUGAUGCAAGCAGGGCGGGUGGGUGGGUUUUUUUUUUGGUUGUAGUUUGUCUUCCAUUGCGGUAGUAAAGUUUUUAAUUAGGAAAGCUAAUGAGAUCGAUUAGUCAUUAGACCUGACCUCUGGAGCUGUGCGAGGAGCCCGCGUGUGUGCGCCGGGCUGAUAACGGGGGACGCUGGGGUAUUGUUUGUAAUAAAAGCCAAAAGUGUUUGAUUUGAGUGAAAUGUGCCACGGGGAAUACAUCAUGUGGAGGAGA